UACGAAGGGGGGCUAGCGUUGUUCGGAAUCACUGGGCGUAAAGGGCGCGUAGGCGGCUUUAUAAGUCGGGGGUGAAAGCCUGUGGCUCAACCACAGAAUUGCCUUCGAUACUGUAGAGCUUGAGACCGGAAGAGGUAAGUGGAACUGCGAGUGUAGAGGUGAAAUUCGUAGAUAUUCGCAAGAACACCAGUGGCGAAGGCGGCUCACUGGCCCGGUACUGACGCUGAGGUGCGAAAGCGUGGGGAGCAAACAGG
rnacentral:rRNA from 1 species